AUUUAUUAACCAAGGUGAUAAAAUUGGUGACAAACUACCAGGCUUCUUUCACCUACCUAUGUAACAAUGUUUUCUCUAGUAAAUUAACAUUUGAAGAUGUUAUGAACAGAUGACCAUGCCAUAUGGGCAACAAACUAUGAAGAAUGAACAUUUAUAAACACUUUACUUUUGUUAUUGAAUAAAAUUUACAACCAGGUUAAUCUGACACUUUUAAUGUAUGCAUAAUUGUUAUUGUGCUGUGAGGUAAUAGCUGAGAUUAUAGGCAUGUACCACAGCGCCCAGCUAAUUUUUGUAUUUUCAGAAGAGACAGGGUUUGACCAUGUUGGCCAGGCUGGUCUCGAACUCCUGACCUCAAGUGAUCUGCCUGCCUUGGCCUCCCAAAGUGCUAGGAUUACAGGCAUGAGCCAUCGCACCCAGCCUACAGGAUAGUUUUUUUCAUAAAAAAUUAGCUGGAUGUAGUGGUGUCCACCUGCCCCAGCUACUCAGGAGGCUGAGGCAAGAGGAUUGCUUGAGUCCAGGAGUUCAAGGCUGUAGUAUGCUAUGAUCAUGCCACUGCACUCCAGCCUGGAUGACAGA
rnacentral:lncRNA from 1 species